rnacentral:lncRNA from 1 species
AGUCUGUGCUGAGCUAGCCAGUGAUGUCCUCUGGUUGCUCUGGCCUCCAAGCCAUCCUUUGCCAGGCAGCUGAAACUGCCCUGGAAGAUGCUGGAAUGUGUGGCAGCAAGUAGGAGAGACCUUCCCUGAGACCUUUGCAAUCAUCCAGGCCAGGCUGGGACUGGCCUUGUUGUGGCCUGGGCAGCAGGCAAGCUCCUGCCUGGAUAUUUACUGAACACAUUAGCACCAUACUGCUGGGUUACCUUCAGUGUCUCAUCUCUACAGCAACCCCAGGGGUAGUACUGCUCUGAGUGCUGGGAUGAAUAUGUUCCCUUUGUCCCUCGGGUCAACUCUCCACCCUGCUCUGUGCCCCAGGAGGCUGAGCCAUAACUGGCUGCCUCAUUUGGCUCCCUUGCUCUCUGGAUCCUGGUUGGGUUGUGUCAGUGGGAGCCACUGGCAGGAGAGCAGGAGAUGAGAAAGUGAAGUUGGGGUAUUUAUUUGGUCGCUGGGGUGGAAUGCAUCCUUGCAGCUCCAGUGUGGCAACCCAGUCCGUGGCUACCCUGGUACAAGCCCCAGGGCACUGCAGUAGUGUUUGUGGUUUCCUUGAUCAUGCCCAUACUUUUUAAAACAAAUUGGCUCAGUUGGUUAAGCGUCUGACUCUUGCUUUCAACUCAGGUCAUUAUAUCAUGGUCGUGAGAUCAAGCCUGCAUUGAACUCCAUGCUGAACGUGGAGCCUGCUUGGGUUUCUCUCUCUCUGCCCCUCCCCAACUUGCGCAAGUGUUCAUGUGCAUACGCACCGGCUCUCUCUCUCUCUCUCUCAAAAUAAAUAAACAUGAAAAAAUAUCCCUCAAGGAAACUCUUUAAAGUUACUGGGUUUGAAUGUGCCAUCUGUUUUUUGCUGGGACCCUGACUGGUGCAAUUCACAUUGUAAUGAUGGCAAGACUGUCGUUCUGAAAGCUUGCCCAAGGUGCAGCGUGGUGACUGUGGUCAUGAAGUGGUUAAGCUAUGAUUCAGACUGUGGGGGGUGGGUGUCAGCCCAACCCUGGGCCCUUUAAGCUUGGUUGGCUUACCCACCCCACUAAUAGCCACACGAAAGAGCAAAGGUGAACCACAGCCUGUUCUGUGGACAUACUGAUCUGCCCUCUCCUUGCCUGCAUUGGCUCUUGGUUCACUGCUCCUAGGUUUCUGGCCCCUGGCCUUGGCUUUGAUGGUCACUAAAUGUGUCUCUCAUUAGUGGAGCCUUGCACCCCCUUUUGCUUUCCAUUCCAGUCUGGCUUGAAUGUUGGUGUCCCCUAAAUUGCAAGUCACCACACAGUACUGGGGGGUGGGGUGGGGGGGGGCUGUGAACCACCCCAACUGUUGGUUACUGCAGGAGACGAGUAUGUUACUGUCUCCCCUGACUCGGAGCUGUUUGAGUUCAGCUCCUGUUCUCCUAUGCAGUCUCCACCUCCUGCCAGGGCCCCGGUGAGCCAACGAUGCUCAGGGCAGAUGGAAGGAGCUGCUGAAUAAUGCUUGAGUGAGGCUGGGACUCCCACCUUUAGAGGAGACAACCAUCCUGUUGUGGCAUAUUAUAAGGAGUGAGAGUAUGAAUAACAGAGAUUUGUGUACACAGGGUGGGGACGUGGAUUGUUGAUGGUGGUGAUUGGGUUAUAAAGGAGGAGGGAGUGUGGUUUAUCUAUGGGGAGAACAAUGAUUGUGUGUGUGCUCAGAGCAGUGUUCUCACCAGAAACACGGGAAGCGCUGUUGCAGAGGGAGCACAGCGUCCUCUUGUGACCACACUUACAAUCACAACAUAUAUACCAGUAGGUUCCACCCACAUCCCCACCCAGAUCAACCCCAGCCCCAGUCUGCCUUCACCCCCAGACGUACAGCCCUCCUGAGGGCUACCUUCCCUGCCCUCAGGGUCUUGUGGGUGGGAGUACAGAACAGAGGACGGAGCCAACCUGUAUAAAACACAGCCUUUAUUGAUUUCUUUUUUUUUUAAUUUUUUUUUCAACGUUUAUUUAUUUUUUUGAGAACAGAGAGAGACAGAGCAUGAACGGGAGAGGGGCAGAGAGAGAGGGAGACACAGAAUCGGAAACAGGCUCCAGGCUCCGAGCCAUCAGCCCAGAGCCUGACGCGGGGCUCGAACUCACAGACCGUGAGAUCGUUACCUGGCUGAAGUCGGACGCUUAACCGACUGCGCCACCCAGGCGCCCCCCUUUAUUGAUUUCAAGGAACAUCUACCUUGAGUCUCUGGCAGCAGAGUCUGAGAGGCUGGCACUAGGUUGAGCACGUUUGUGGCAAGAAGACGGCAGAAAAGCUGUCUGAGCCUGGGAGGAGCAGAACUGGGCGAAAGGGGGCUUCCCCUGAGGACAGUGGGGACCAGGAGGACACCCGAGUAUCUCGAGCAGCAGGUGGCAUCACAGAGCCAUCUCCUCCUCCCCUUCACAAGCUCACCCUCAGGCCUUUGGACCUCCCACUGCUUAGAGACUACUUCCUUUCCAGCCCAGAACCUAGGUGCGUCUCCCAAGGGAAUGAAACUCCCUUUGAUCUGGUGCUUCCAAACCAGGGCAAACAUCUCACCUGCAAACACCUGCCGCUUUCUUGUCUAGGAAGCCCUUCUCACCUCUCUCAAACAUUUUGUACUCAGGGUAGUCUCUCCUGAUCACUCCCUCCUGGGUUAGGCGGAAGCUCUGCUGGGAGCCUCCUGGGGGUCCCCUCGCACUCAGUCGUUGAUUUGUUUGUUUCGACGUCUGUCUCCCCCAAGGGCUGGCGCUAGUUCUGGAGUGUGACUUAUAUUACACCUGGGUAGACAGCACAGUGCCCAGUGCUCAAAAAAUCUGCCAAAAAUGAAACGGGAUACAGUAGCAAAUUCAAAGUGGGGGCACCCAGCACCUGUAGGACCCCUCCCCCCGUGCAGUACUGCCCAUCUGUCCCCACUGGCAGCUCCAGCGUCGCUCCCCAGCCUGUGGUCAGAUGGGGGUCAUGCUGGGUGCAGACGCGUGUCUCUUGUCGUCGCCAGAGUCGGAGCCCAGCUCCCCAGCCUCCACCAGCUUGUGGUGGCAGCGGCAGGUGGAGGCCCGGCUGGUGGAGGAUGGGAGGCUGUGGCCCUUCGGGGGCUUGUUCCUGGCUAUGCCUCGCAGGACCCUGUGGAAGAUGAGGUAGCAGAUCUCGCAGAUGGUGAGCACGAUGCAGACGGCAGAGGCACCCACCAUGAAGUAGGUGAAGACCUUCUUCUCGGUGGGCCGCGCGAUGUAGCAGUCCACGACGUUGGGGCAGGGCGCCACGUUGGCACACUGCACCAGGCGUGGCAUGCCAAAGCCGUGCCAGAGCGUGUGCAGCACGUAGAGGAAGAGGAAUUCGAUGAGGAGCUUGAAGAUGAGGCUGAACAAGUAGGUCCACCACAGGCCGCCGUGCUUCUUGCCUGCGUUGGCGUACAGCUUGGCGCACUGGUCCCCGUGCUUCUGGCGGUGCCGGCGCUCGCGCUCCUCCCGGUAGGCCACGUGCAGGAUGACCAGCAGCGAGGGGCACGUGACGAAGAUGAGCUGCAGGGCCCAGAGGCGGAUGUUGGAAAUGGGGAAGAAGUUGUCGUAGCAGACGUUGGUGCAGCCGGG